GCAGGAGGGUGGGCCACGGGUGCCGCCCGAGCUCCUGCGACCAGGAGGGCCAGGGAUGGGGCAGCCUGUUUGAUGGAGAAGGGAAAGAAGACCCGGAGCAGUGAAGUGACUGCAUGGGGUACCCGACUAGGAAUGGGUGUGUGGUGGCAAAGCUGAUACUGGGGCCAAGGCCGCUGUUCCAGGAAGCCGUAUGUCCUGUGUUUUAGGUGCCACCCGGCACUGUCUUUGGGGACAAGCCCCUUUAGGGUCCAGGAAGGUGCUGUAGGUUCUUCCCACAUCCCCAGAACUCUGGGCAGAAUCCAGCUGCCGGGGUAGGUGCCCUCCAUGAGCAUAGCACUGGCCACUCGGCACAGGCUCUGGGGAACCUCCUCAGGUGGUACCCCCUGGGCAUUUCCAAAGGCCCCGUCACUUAACAUCAAGCCUCAUGACACCCCUAGACAUACAGCCUUGCCCUUGAUCCAAUCUCAGAAAACCAGAAUGGGGUCUCAGUGCCCAGGUGCAGUGCACGCUGAACAGCCCUUCGGGGUGGCUGCAGCGUCUCCUCCAGAGUCCAGGGUCCUUGUACUGCCCGCCUCCCAUCCCUGCCAGGCUGCCUCGUCUCCCUGGCCUCCUGAUCCUCCCCCAGUCCUCAGGCCCUUCCCCUCCCUUUCAAUUCUCUGCUCCUCCUUCCCUGAGUAGAAGGGGUUCUCAAGCUGGAGCAGGCAUCAGAAACUUCUGGAGGGCUCGUCAAACACAUGGCUGGCCUCACCCCAAUUUCCUAUUCCACAGAUGUGGACUGGGGCCCAGGACCGCACACCUCACACAUUCCCAGAUGCUGUGGGUCCAGGGAACACACUUUGAGAAUCAGUGCUCUAGUAAACGUUAACAGGUGUUCUUUCUGCAGGAUAUUAAGAGAUACUUCAUAAAAGGAGGACAUACUUUUUUAAGGGGGGGAGAUUUUGCUCAAAUAUGUGAAAAUACUGGCUUAAACAAAGGAAGUCGCCUUAGUGCAGGACUUUUCUGAGCCUUUUCUACAAAGCGUGUGCAGACACGCGUGUGUUUGCUUCCCAAACAACUGACUGCAGGACCCUUUGGCUGGUGCAUCUCAAGGCACCAGAGCCCCAUGGAGCCUACCUGGGGAACUUCUGGUGGUGGUGGUGAUGGUGGGAGAGACACACAACCAUUCCAGGGGCUGAAGAUCUGGACCUGAGCCCACCUGAGAAAGGAGCUUGUCUCCCCCAGAUUACAGGUGAAGGGACCGAAAUAAGGUGCGCUCCAGCCACGAGGACAUGUCCCCAGGGAAUGCCAUGAGCUGUUCCUGGGCAUCCUCAACUUUGCACUCCAGUCUGAGGGCUCCAAAGAAUGGCUGCCAUGGCAACCGUUUCCAUGUUUCUGUCACCAAGGGACUCAACACUCAGUGUGAACUCUGAGGUGGGGGUGGGGAGCCCUCCAGCCUGGAGAGGUGGCUGGGCUCUGUAUGUGUUUGACUGCGCAGAUAGAGGUCACCGUGGCAACUGCGUGCCCCUCAGCUAAGCAAACGGGGAGCAUCCCCGAGAGCCCCGGUUUCCUCUCCUUGGGACUGAGCUGAAUACAGAAUGAGCCUCCCCCAGGAUGCAGCUGUUUGCCUGUGCGGGACCUCAGACCCCCGGCCCAGCCACAGUGUCCCCCCAGCCAGGGUGGGCUGGGGUGGCCAACAGGAUGCUGCAGAAGGCACCUCUGGUGAGAACGUGGCUUUGAUCACAUGUUGGUGUUAAGAGCUGAACUGUGUAUCUCCCCCCCACACCCCGCCGGCAAAAUUAAUACAUUGAAGUCCUAACCCCCAGUGCCUCAGAAUGUGACAGUAUUUGGAGAUAAUUACCUCUUAACGCCUUUAAGAGGAAGUUAUAAAGGGUGGGCCCUAAUCCAAUACGACUGGAGUCCUCCUAAGAAGAGAUUAGGACAGACACGCACGGAGGGAUGACCACGUGAAGACACAGCAAGAAGACGGCCGCCUACGAGCCCAGGAGAGAGGCCUCAGAGGAAACCAACCCUGACGACACCUUGAUCCAGUACUUCCAAACUCCCAAACUGGGAGAAAAUGAGUUUCCGUUGUUUGAGCCCCUCAGUCUAGGGUACUUUGUUCUGGCCGCGUGAGCAAACUCAUGUCACUGGAAUCAGAGACUCGGGGUCUUGGGCCUCAGCUCAGGGCCAGGUGGGAAGGCAGAGCUGGUGAGGCCAGAGAGCUCUCUGGACAAGCUCAGGCCCCGGGCUGGCCCCCAGAGGCCCUUCUCCCUCCCCAGCCCAAGGGGGACCCACCUAGCACUGAGGACGCAGCCCGGAGGGGGAUCUGGCCCUGGACACCUUGCUGUCCUCAAGCAUCCAGGGGCCGAAGCAGUGGACACAGGUCGAUGGGGACGAAGCACGGGUCCUUGUCGUCCUCCCACCCCAGCAGCGCCCUGGCAGCGGGCUGGGACGGCACGGGGCCGGGGGCAGGGGCGGGUGGUGGUAGAUUCAUGGGAUUAUGCUGGAAAAAGGCCACAUUUCCGCUGCCCUUGGCAACGCCUCUGCAUAUUACACAGCCCACCAAGUAUGAGCUGCACACACAGUGCGCAGGCCAAGUCCCCGCAGUGCACACACGGCUGAAAAUACUCGAAAUACACACUGGAACUGUGACCUCAGGCAGACCCACUCGGCCCCCUCGGGGAGCACGCAGGGCUCGGCUGCCACCUCUGAUCCCUGCUGCCUGGGAGCCAGGAAUGACCGGGGUCUCCUGGGGGCCUGUGGCACUGCCCAACCGGGGUUGCAGGGGGCACCUGGUGCAGCGGCCGUGGACCCAUGGUCCCCGAGGGUGUGCCCCUUACACCCACACGACGCUCACUCCAGGCCAACGACCCUCAGUCCUAAGUCCCCAUCCCUGCACCGCUGUCCUAAACUGGCCUCACAGGGAGGAUCCCCCAUCCCUCAUUCAGAAACGAGGCAGAUGAGACGACCCUCAGAAAGACAAACGGUGAGAUCAGACCAUAUCAGACCGAGCGGUAAGAG